rnacentral:rRNA from 1 species
GACGAACGCUGGCGGCGUGCCUAAUACAUGCAAGUCGAACGCAGUGGGGACGGGUGAGUAACACGUGGGUAACCUCCCAUCAGAGGGGAUAACACUUGGACACAGGUGCUAAACCGAUACUGAUGGAUGGACCCGCGGUGCAUUGGCUAGUUGGUGAGGUAACGGCUCACCAAGGCCACGAUGCAUAGCCGGCCUGCGAGGGGGAUCGGCCACACGGGGACUGAGAAACGGCCCAGACUCCUACGGGAGGAAGAAGUAGGGAAUCUUCGGCAAUGGACGAAAGUCGGAGCGAGCAACGCCGCGGGAGUGAAGAAGGUUUUCGGAUCGUAAAACUCUGUAGUUAGAGAAGCGGUAUCUAACCAGAAAGCCACGGCUAACUACGUGCCAGCAGCCGCGGUAAUAC